rnacentral:rRNA from 1 species
AGCAGCCGCGGUAAUUCCAGCUCCAAUAGCGUAUAUUAAAGUUGUUGCAGUUAAAAAGCUCGUAGUUGAAUUUCGGGGUCAGUAGGUCGGUCGUGCCACUGGUAUGAACUGGUCUCACUGAUUCCUCCCUCUUGUAGAACCGUGAUGCCAUUAAUUUGGUGUUGCGGGGAAACAGGACUGUUACUUUGAAAAAUUAGAGUGUUUAAAGCAAGCUAACGCUUGAAUACAUUAGCAUGGAAUAAUGAAAUAGGACGUCGAUCUUAUUUUGUUGGUUUCUAGGGUUGACGUAAUGAUUAAUAGGGAUAGUUGGGGGCAUUAGUAUUCAAUUGUCAGAGGUGAAAUUCUUGGAUUUAUUGAAGACUAACUACUGCGAAAGCAUUUGCCAAGGAUGUUUUCAUUAAUCAAGAACGAAAGUUAGGGGAUCGAAGACGAUCAGAUACCGUCGUAGUC